rnacentral:tRNA from 1 species
GUUAUAAUAGCUUAACUUAAAGCAUUGGUUUUGUAAACCAAAAUUAAAUAUAUUAACUAUUUUUAUAACU